UCCCUGGAGGCCUAGUGGUGAGGCCUCGGCAUUCUCACUGCUGUGGCCUGGGUUCUAUUCCCAGCCAGGGAA